GACGAAGGGGCUAGCGUUGUUCGGAAUUACUGGGCGUAAAGCGCGUGUAGGCGGUUGCCAAAGUCGGGUGUGAAAGCCUUGAGCUCAACUCAAGAAAUGCACUCGAUACUUGGUGACUAGAGGACCGGAGAGGAUAGUGGAAUUCCCAGUGUAGUGGUGAAAUACGUAGAGAUUGGGAAGAACACCAGUGGCGAAGGCGGCUAUCUGGACGGUUUCUGACGCUAAGACGCGAAAGCGUGGGGAGCAAACAGG
rnacentral:rRNA from 1 species